GUGAAUCAUCAAAUUUUUGAACGCAAAUUGCACUCUCUUCGGAGAGUAUGCCUGUUUGAGGGUCAGCCUAAAAAAAAAAUCGACAUAGUCUCUGUUUCGCGGUGACAUUAGUAGGAAAUUGGGUAAUUUUAAACCUUUGGUUUUUAAUCGUCUUAAAAUUUUCUUUACGAUUCCACGAAAGUAUCUAAGAUUUACUUCUUAUACGUUUAAGGUAUCGAUCUUUAUUAGACAUAGCCGUUGCAUCGGAUAUCGACG
rnacentral:misc_RNA from 1 species